UACAGAGGUGGCAAGCGUUGUUCGGAAUUACUGGGCGUAAAGGGCUCGUAGGCGGCCAACUAAGUCAGACGUGAAAUCCCUCAGCUUAAACUGGGGGAACUGCCGUCUGAUACUGGAGUGGCUUGGAUUCGGGGAGAGGAAGUGCGGAAAUUCCGAGGUGUAGCGGUGAAAUGCGUAGAUAUCUGGAGGAACACCGGUGGCGAAGGCGGCAUCCGUGGACCAACACUGACGCUGAGUGAGCGAAAGCCAGGGGAGCAAACGGG
rnacentral:rRNA from 1 species